UACAGGGGGUGCAAACGUUGCUCGGAAUUACUGGGCGUAAAGCGUGCGCAGGCGGUUUUGUAAGUCAGAUGUGAAAUCCCCGGGCUCAACCUGGGAACUGCGUUUGAAACUGCAAGGCUAGAGUAUGGGAGAGGGAGGUAGAAUUCCACGUGUAGCAGUGAAAUGCGUAGAGAUGUGGAGGAAUACCAGUGGCGAAAGCGACACCCUGGCAUUAGCCUGACGCUCAUGUGCGAAGGCGUGGGGAGCGAACGGG
rnacentral:rRNA from 1 species